rnacentral:rRNA from 1 species
UGGGGAAUAUUGCACAAUGGGGGAAACCCUGAUGCAGCCAUGCCGCGUGUGUGAAGAAGGCCUUCGGGUUGUAAAGCACUUUCAGUCGUGAGGAAAGGGGUGUAGUUAAUAACUGCAUCCUGUGACGUUAGCGACAGAAGAAGCACCGGCUAACUCCGUGCCAGCAGCCGCGGUAAUACGGAGGGUGCAAGCGUUAAUCGGAAUUACUGGGCGUAAAGCGUGCGUAGGCGGAUUAUUAAGUCAGAUGUGAAAUCCCGGGGCUCAACCUCGGAACUGCAUUUGAAACUGGUAGUCUAGAGUAUUGUAGAGGGUGGUGGAAUUUCCAGUGUAGCGGUGAAAUGCGUAGAGAU